ACUCAAAGGAAUUGACGGGGGCCCGCACAAGCAGCGGAGCAUGUGGUUUAAUUCGAAGCAACGCGAAGAACCUUACCAGGACUUGACAUCCCCUGCAUAACUCGUAACGGAGGAAGUCCUUCGGGACAGGGAGACAGGUGGUGCAUGGUUGUCGUCAGCUCGUGUCGUGAGAUGUUGGGUUAAGUCCCGCAACGAGCGCAACCCCUGUUGCUAGUUGCCAUCAUUAAGUUGGGCACUCUAGUGAGACUGCCGGAGACAAUUCGGAGGAAGGUGGGGAUGACGUCAAAUCAUCAUGCCCCUUAUGUUCUGGGCUACACACGUGCUACAAUGGGCGUAACAACGGGAAGCAAGCUGGAGACAGCAAGCAAACCCCUAAAAAGCGCCCUCAGUUCGGAUUGCAGGCUGAAACCCGCCUGCAUGAAGUGGGAGUUGCUAGUAAUCGCGAAUCAGCAUGUCGCGGUGAAUACGUUCCCGGGCCUUGUACACACCGCCCGU
rnacentral:rRNA from 1 species